GCUGGGUGUGGUGGUGCAUGCCUAUAAUUCCAUCAGCUUGGGAGGCUGAGGCAGGAGGAUCACGAGUUCAAAGCCACCCUCAGCAAUAGCGAGGUACUAAGCCACUCAGGGAGACCCUGUCUCUA
rnacentral:sRNA from 1 species